rnacentral:rRNA from 1 species
GAUGAACGCUGGCGGCGUGCCUAAUACAUGCAAGUCGAGCGAACAGACGAGGAGCUUGCUCCUCUGACGUUAUAGGCGGACGGGUGCGUAACACGUGGAUAACCUAACUAUACGACUGGGAUAACUUUGGGAAACCGGAUCUAAUACCGGAUAAUAUAUUGAACCGCAUGGUUCAAUAGUUGAAGUCGGUUUUUCUGUCGCUAAUAGCUGGAUACGCGCAGCAUUAGCUAGUUGGUAAGGUAACGGCUUACCAAGGCAACGAUGCGUAGCCGACCUGAGAGGGUCAUCGGCCACACUGGCACUGAGACAGAGUCCAGACUCCGACGCUAGGCAGCAGUAGAGAAUCUUCCGCAAUGGGGGAAUGCCUGACGGAGCAACGCCGCGUGAGUGAUGAAGGUCUUCGGAUCGUAAAACGCUGUUAUUAGUGAAGAACAAAUGUGUAAUUAACUAGGAACGUCUUGACGGUACCUAAUCAGAAAGCCACGGCUAACUCCGUG